GAGAGAUUAAGUAUAUACAUUAAAAUGUGACUAAAUAAUCUGGGGUACAAUGAGACAUGAUUAUAAUUAUUCACUAAUAAUUUUGGGGUUAAGCUAUUAUGUCUCUCUAACAAGUACAUAACUUUAUAAGCUCCCAAAUCGUAGAUGUGCUCGCAUGGUCACACGACCCAUUUGCCUAUAUGAAUCAUCUUCAAAGAGCUGAGAGAAUGGACUUGGAUGAUUAUUGAUUGGUUGUAUCAACCCAUCUUGUGCAAGUGGAAGAUGUUGGAAUUGGGUGGGUGCCCAAGUUGGGCUGACCCAUAUCGAUCCAAUAUGUAUGAGAUAUGGGGGAAGCAAUUUUUGGGAGUUGGAACUAUUAAAAAUUGCCCAGAAACCUCCCUACUAAAGAUAUAUAUAUAUAUCUCAAUUUCUCUCUAACUCAAUCUCUGGGGCUCUCGCAUUUUUUUUUUCUAGAAAAAAAGAAAAAAGAAAAGAGAACUUCAAAAAGAAAAGUUUAUUGAAGAAUAGAUGAAAGGUUUUUGUGCUAUGAAACUAGGUGGUUCCAGGUUUGAUUAUGGUUCCAUUCAAGACCUGGGCUGAAGGUUUGAACAGUGAAACAAUUUUAUUGGAUCUUGGAUUUUUUUUUUUUUUUAAAAGGUAAUAUGAAGUUUUUUUUUAACAUUGGACAAAUAAACUUUUUUUCUUUCUUUUAAUUUACCUUACUUUCCCCCACCUUUCUCACCUUCUUUGUACUUAGUUUCUACUGUCUUCAAUUGACAAUUAUGACUUUAAUUUAAAAAUAAUGCUUCAGUUAAUAAUUGAGGCUUCAACUUAAAUUUUGAAAAAAAAAAGAAAAAAAAGGCAUGACUCCUAUAUAGCAAUAAAGGGAUUAAUUUAAAUAUAAAUUUUGUAGAGGAAUUAAAUCUUAUAUAUAUAUAUAUAUAUAUAUAUAUAUAUAUAUAUAUAUAUAUAUAUAUUAUAUAAAUGGGCUAUUUUACCAUACACUCUAAAAAGGCACUCCAAAAUAGAUAAGCUUUUAAUAAAUAAAUGAAUGAGAAGAAUAAAAAACCACAUAGACAGCCAUAAAAAAAAGUGUUUUGGGAAAAAUUGCACAAGGAAGUGUAAGAGGUUUGUAUAUUUAAUUAUUUAUCUCAUGGAUUUGGACAAUAAGGUUGUUGUUUCCCAGGUAGGAUUGGACUUGCUUUCAUCCACGAGAAGUGGGGUCACAAUUUGAAAUAUUAAUUUAAAUGAGUGAGACCAAAGAGCUUUUGAAUAUUUUCCCUUUUAUGCAGGAAAAGAAAAAACUAAAGAAUUUUUAUUUAUUUGAUUUAUCAUGAUAAUAAAUUAAAUUAAAUAUAUAUUUUCAAAAUUUCCACCCAUUAUAUUAUACCAAAGAAAAAAUAACAAUAAUUUCCAAAAAGAAUGUUAAAAAAUUUAUUAAAUAUAAAAUAUUAAUUUUAUUUUCUUUAAAAAAAUCUUAAUUUACAUAUUCUUACAUUUUUUUUGUUAGUUUUUAUGCUCUUCUCCUUAAAAUUCGAUAAUGUUUUGGGAAAGAGGAAACUCCUAAAAUUAAUUUCAUCCUCCAUCUCAAGUAGAAAGUAAUAAAGGAGGUGAAUAUAUUAAAUCUUAAUUAUUUUAAAAAGAAUAUAUUAAAUUUAGAUUUUACAAAUCUAGAAUAAUUUACUCCCUUUUUUCUUUUAAAUAUUCACUAAAACACUUUUUUUUUUCUUUCCGAACAAUCCGCACUAUAUAACUAAUUAAUUUUCAAAGUUUUUAUUUUUAUUUUUAUUUUAUUUUUUUAUUCCUAAUGUUCCAUUGAGAUACUAGCAAAAUUUAAAAAAAAGAAAAGGAUAAUUGGCAUGCUAGGAAUAAAUGGUGUAUUUGAUAAUUAUUUUUAAAAAUAAUUUUAUGUUAUGAAGAAUAAAUAUAUAUAUAUAUAUAUAUUUAAUAAAAAAAUUUCUUUUUAGUUUUUGAUUUUAAAAAAUAAAAAACAGGUUGUUUUUAACUUUUUAUAGAACAUCUUUUAAUUAUUUUUUAAAAUUUAUUUUUAAAAAUAAUUAUAUAAAUAUAAUUAAAAAUAAAAUCCUAAAUAUAAAAAUUACUUUUAAAACGUAUUUAUAAAUAUUAAAAAACGGGUUGUUCUAUGGUACCGCAUUCUACUUUUCGGUACCAUACCCACACUUUUUCUCCAAUAAAGGCAUGACAAGUGUAAAGUAGCCCAAAAAAAAAAACUCUUUCAAUAGGCCACCAACGGGUUAGCCAAUAUUUUAAUGGGAGAAGAUCCUAUGCAUGUGAUAUGAAGGUUCUCAUUACAUGCAGUUAAACAAUGUAAUUAAAUAAUGUUGUAAAAUAUUAACAAUUUAAGUAUAAUUGUUAUGAGAUGAUAAAAUAUUUAUUUUAUGAUGUAAAAUUAUAACCCACCUUGUAAAAAAUUAUACAUAAAUAUAUUAAAAUAAAUAUUUAUUGUUAAAAAUGCAAAUGAUCAAUAAUCUAUUGUUAAUUGAAAAUAAAUAAUAUUUAUAAUUUCUUAAAUUGUAAUUUAAAUUUAUUUGUUGACAAGAUUGGAUAAAUAUUGAACUGAAAAGAAUUUUCAAAUUAAAAAAAAAGAAGGUAAAAUUACAAGGUUACAAAGAAUGAUUUCAAUCUCAUAUCAUUCCUCACAUUCUUCGUACCACGAUUGUUUUCAAUUUUUAAUUUUUUUUUAGGAUAAUUUCAAUCAUUUCUAAGUUUAAAAAAAAUAAAAAUUUGAAGGCUAAGAAAAUGCGAGGAAAGGUAAGCAAUCCUCACUUUUAUUAUACCUUGCCUUACAUUCUUCAUGCCCCUAACAAUUAUUUAAUGUUUUCAUUGUUUAAAUUUUUUAAAUUUUAUUUUCCAUCAAUUCCAAGCUUAAUUGGUAUGACUAACUAUUAUUAUUGCAUUUUAAAGUGAAAAAAAAAUCAUAAAAAUGAAAAAAAAAAGAGUAAAAUUUUGAGGAUACGAAGAAUAUGAUGAAGGGUACGAAAAAUGUGAAGAAUCCUCACUUUCUUCGUACCUUGCCUUACAAUUUUCGUACUCUCGACAAUUAUUUAGUGUUUUCAAUUUUUAAUUUAAUUUAUUUUAUUCUCCAUCCUUAAUUGGUAUGUAUAAUGAUUAUUAUUGCAUUUUGAAGCAAAAAAAAAAAAAAAUCCUUAAAAAAAAGUAAAAUUGCGGAAGUACAAAAAAUGUGAGGAAAUGUAUGAAAAAUGUGAGAAAUCCUAACUUUCUUUGUACCUUGCCUCACAUUCUUCGUACCCCCAACAAUUAUUUAGUGUUUUCAAUUUUAAAUUUAUUUUAUUUUAUUUUCUAUCUAUACCAAGCUUAAUUGGUAUGGAUAACCAAUAUUACUGCAUUUUAAAGUGGAAAAAGAAAAUCUUGAAAAUGAAAAAAAAAAAUUUAAAUUUCGAGGGUAUGAAGAAUGUGAGGAAUGGUACAAAGAAUGUAAGCAAUCCAUACUUUUAUCGUACAUUGCCUCACAUUUUUUGUACCCCCAACAAUUAUUUAGUGUUUUCAAUUUUCAAUUUUUUGAUUUUAUUUUUCAUUAAUUCUAAGCUUAAUUUGUAUGGAUAAUGGUUAUUAUUGCAUUUUGAAGCGAAAAAAAAUUCCUAAAAAAAAAAAAGUAAAAUUUUGAGAUUUCACUUUCUUCAUACCUUGUCUCAUAUUCUUCUUACCUUGACAAUUAUUUAGUGUUUUCAAAAUUAAAAUUUUAAUAUUUUAUUUUCUAUCUAUUACAAGCUUAAUUGGUAUAUAUAACAAAUAUUACUCCAUUUUGAAGUUUAAAAAAAAAACUUCAAAAUGAAAAAAAAAAAAUUUAAAUUUUAAGGGUACGAAGAAUGUGAGGAAGAGCAUGAAGAAUGUAAGGAAGAGCAUGAAGAAUGUGAGCAAUCCUCACUUUUAUCGUACCUUGCCACACAUUCUUCGUAUCCCCAACAAUUAUUAAGUGUUUUCAUUUUUAAUUUUUUUUAAUUUUAUUUUCCAUCAAUUCCAAGCUUAGUUUGUAUGAAUAAUGAUUAUUAUUGCAUUUUGAAGUGAAAAAAAAAAAAUCUUAAAAAUGAAAAAAAAAAAGAGUAAAUUUUGAGGGUACGAAGAAUGUGAAAAAGAGUACGAAGAAUGUUUUAAUUAUAAAUAUUGUUAGGAAUUUGAGGCUAAUCCAAACUAUAGUAAUCACCCUAGAGGGGGGGGGGGUAAAUAGGGUGAUGGUCUCUUUUUCACAAAUUUAAACUAUGCAAAAAUAAGAGACAAUUAUAUGCAAAUAUAUGAUAAACAAAAUAAACACAAUUGCAUAUAAUUUAAAAGAGUUAGGGAAGAGAGAGUGCAAACACGAGAGUUUAUAGUGGUUCGGCACUUCCUUGCCUACGUCCACUCUCCUCAACCUCGUAACCGAGUGAGGGUUCCACUAUCUUGAAGUUUCAACCAAGCUUCCAAUCUCUUUACAAUUGGAUUAUGGUUCCAAUUCACCCUCUUGGACUUUUGGCUCCAAGCACCCUUUACACUUCUCAAGAGUUAUCCCACUCUUGAACAACCUCUCAAGUGAUACCCCUCACUUGAGAAAAUUCCUCUCAAAGAUUUACAAAUAAAAUGAUCUUUCAAAAAUCCUAGUACAAGAACUUUAAGCUCAAAUGAUACAAGAGAAACUAUGAUUGAAUGGUGCACUAAAGAUAUGCAAGUUUUGGAAUAAUGUGGCACUCAAAAAUACUCUUCCAAGGCUCAAAUAUAAUCAAGAAAGAUUUGGGAAGGUUUAGCUUAUGAAACAAUGAAGUUUGGAGCCUUUUUAUAGAAGAAAAAAGUCACACUAGCCGUUGGGGGUUUGACUGGUCGAGCUAGGGGUCGACCGGUUGACUAGCCGUUAGGGAAAGUGACCGUUAGGCCUCAAUCGGACCUCGACCGGACCUCAAUCGGACCUCAACCGGUUGAGGUUCAACCUUGGCCGGGAAGAGAAGGUCAUUGGGAGAGAGAGAAACUUUUUGGCCUCCCUCAACUGGACGAGCACAACCGGUCGACCGGUUGAACCAGUUGAGCCAUUUUUUUGGCUCAACACUCAACCUUUUUCAACUUAAAACCUUUAAACACAAGUUUGAAAAUCAUUUAACACAAGGUUUUAGUUGAAAACAUGAAAUUAUCAAAUUCUUAAGAUAUUUAAAACAAUAUUACUCUUGGAUGAUUUUGGUGUAUAAAUAAAUAAUGAAAUGCAUGAAAGUCCUAGUGCACCAACAACCUUACAAAGAGAUCUUAAGAAGCUUUGGUCUUGAAAAACUCUUCUCUUUGAGGUGGUCUUCUUCUUCAUGAUUUCUCAUUGGCUUGAUUUAUCUUUGGAUUGCCACUUUGGAAGUCGUCUUGCCUAAUCACACUUGAAAUAUGAUCAUUAGUUCUAAACCUUGUUUUGUUAUCAUCAAAAUCAAGAUUAACUAAACCUUGGUUUCAUAAAUAUAAAGAGUGGUUUCUCCCCUGGCGUGUCAAAUUCGCAUCGAAAAAAAGAAAUAUUUGUUCUCUCCUAUAAACAAUUUUUUUUCCCGUAAAAUAUCAUCUAAUAAUAAGUUUCUAUUCCAACACGGAAUGAAAAUGACAAUAUAUAGGAUGAGGUAGAAGGAUUUGUGAUACUUGACUCGAUAUAUGGCCGAAACUACAGAUAUAAAAGAAUACACCAAUCCUAAGGAUCCAUAGGAUUAAUUGUGGGUCUAACACAACAAUAGAAAAUUUGAGUUGUUUAGUCUUAGAUUUUGUAUUGUAUAUCUAGAUAAGUAUGUAUCUAUCCAAAAUAUAUACAUACAAUAGUAUUUUUGUAUUCGACUCUAUCAUUUUUUUUAGUAAAAGAUUGGGUCAAGUUUAAUUACAAUUCGAUUUAGAAAACAAACAUUAAUUACUAGAUUACAAAGUAUCCAUUGCUGGGAAUUCAAAUUUGAUUUCCUUCCAUACUUCACAAGCAGCAGCUAGUUCAGGACUCCAUUUGCUAGCUGCACGGAUAAUUUCAUUACCCUCACGAGCAAGAUCACGUCCCUCAUUACAAGCUUGUACACAUGCUUCAACAACUACUCAAUUAACUACGACGCCCGGUGCAUUUCCCCAAGGGUGUCCUAAAGUUCCUCCACCAAACUGUAGUACGAAAUCAUCUCCAAAGAUCUCG
rnacentral:lncRNA from 1 species